AAGCCCCGGCAGAAAAUAAUCUGCUUGUGGAGGUUUGCGGUCUCAGUCCAGGGCC
rnacentral:tRNA from 1 species